GAUCAUGGCUCAGGAUAAACGCUGGCGGCGUGCUUAACACAUGCAAGUCGAACGAAGUUUUUCAUUCGUGGAAAACUUAGUGGCGGACGGGUGAGUAACGCGUGGGUAACCUGCCCUGUACAGGGGGACAACAGCUGGAAACGGCUGCUAAUACCGCAUAAGCCCUUAGCACUGCAUGGUGCAUAGGGAAAAGGAGCAAUCCGGUACAGGAUGGACCCGCGUCUGAUUAGCCAGUUGGCAGGGUAACGG
rnacentral:rRNA from 1 species